AACGAACGCUGGCGGCAUGCCUAACACAUGCAAGUCGAACGAGAUCUUCGGGUCUAGUGGCGCACGGGUGCGUAACGCGUGGGAAUCUGCCCUUUGGUUCGGAAUAACAGUUGGAAACGACUGCUAAUACCGGAUGAUGACGAAAGUCCAAAGAUUUAUCGCCAGAGGAUGAGCCCGCGUAGGAUUAGCUAGUUGGUGUGGUAAAGGCGCACCAAGGCGACGAUCCUUAGCUGGUCUGAGAGGAUGAUCAGCCACACUGGGACUGAGACACGGCCCAGACUCCUACGGGAGGCAGCAGUGGGGAAUAUUGGACAAUGGGCGAAAGCCUGAUCCAGCAAUGCCGCGUGAGUGAUGAAGGCCUUAGGGUUGUAAAGCUCUUUUACCCGGGAUGAUAAUGACAGUACCGGGAGAAUAAGCCCCGGCUAACUUCGUGCCAGCAGCCGCUGUAAGAC
rnacentral:rRNA from 1 species